GACGAACGCUGGCGGCGUGCUUAGCACAUGCAAGUCGAACGGAAAGGCCCUGCUUUUGUGGGGUGCUCGAGUGGCGAACGGGUGAGUAACACGUGAGUAACCUGCCCUUGACUUUGGGAUAACUUCAGGAAACUGGGGCUAAUACCGGAUAGGAGAUCCCGCUGCAUGGUGGGGGUUGGAAAGUUUCGGCGGUUGGGGAUGGACUCGGGGCUUAUCAGCUUGUUGGGGGGGUGGGGGCUUACCAAGGCAUUGACGGGUAGCCGGCCUGAGAGGGUGACCGGCCACGUUGGGACUGGGAUGCGGCCCAGACUCCAACGGGAGGCAACGGUGGGGAGUAUUGCACAAUGGGCGGAAGCCUGAUGCAACAACGCCGCGUGCGGGAUGACGGCCUUCGGGUUGUAAACCGCUUUCGCCUGUGACGAAGCGUGAGUGACGGUAAUGGGUAAAGAAGCACCGGCUAACUACGUG
rnacentral:rRNA from 1 species